rnacentral:lncRNA from 10 species
AAGAAUGUGUAACCAGUACUGGUUACAGUAUUUGUGAGGCCCCGUGCAAAAUGAAAACACAGGGCCCUUGUUUUGAAAUCUGGGGAAAAGUGCCAUUAAAGAUACUUAAAGAUGGUGACCGCAGAGCAUUAAACCAACCAUGAGACACUUCUGACCGUGGGACUCUGUGACUGUGCACAUCAUGCACCCUUGAAACCAGCUCUGCAUGUCACCAAGGAUGCAAAGGAGGAUGCUGGGGAGAUAACAGUGGAAGAUACACCACCACCACCACCAUCAUCAUCCUGCCAUCUAAUAUCCCAUUAGAAGGAUAGCCACAUUUCCCCCUGGCCUGGUAAAUCAUUCAGCCCAUUCACUUGGACAAAGUACUUAAUCCAGAGUGAGACCAUGCAAGCAAGGACAAUUAUAAUUCUUCCCUGAAAUGAAUACAGCAUAAGGAAGUUGGAAGAGAGUAACUCUCUUUACUGUUGGGUUGCCAAGCCUGGAAGAUGUCAAGUUGGUGCUGCUGGCUGCUAUUUUUCCUGCCAUCUGAGAGAAGGCAUGUCUUCAGUUAAAAAGAAUAAAGCUGAACAGAGAUGAGAGAUAGAGAGCUGAAGGACUAAGGUAUUGGUUCCUAGAACCCUCCAUUCUGUUCUGUGAAUUAUUUCUGUAUCUUUUCUUCCACUAUGGAGCAAUAAAAUUAAACUUUCUUAAGCUGAGUUCUAUUGUGUAUUUUUUUUUAUAACUUGCAACCAGAAAAGUCCUAAUACAGUUCCUGUAACUGUAGAUAAGACAUUACCACCAGCAGCAAAGAGCAGGCAAUAGAUAGAGUAAAAAGAUUCAGCUCCCUACAAUAUGGUAAAGCUAUGAAAAUGAGGCAACAUAUAGGCUCAAGGUGGAAGAAUAUUUUGGAAAUUUAGCAUCCUAAUAUCUUUUGAAAAGCAGUUAAUAUUUGAAUAAUCUAGGUCCACUACAAUCAAUAUUGCAGGUAUUUCCCAAAGCAUGGUCAAAUAUGCCAUAGUUUAUGUGACAGUGUGCUAGCCUAAAAUAGGGGGUAAGAACAGAAAGCAAGAAAAAGGUAAGAAUGUAACAGUCCUGAGUUGGUUAUAAUUUCUUAGGAAUUAUAAGGGGAGGAAAGGAGUUGAGGGAUAUAAGGAUGAAUGACUGUCACAUUUAUCUACCCUUUUAAAAAUAUCUUUGUAAACCUUAUAUAUUAGAUUGCUUAUAGUUGUCUACAGUUUGUUUCUAAAGCAGUAAAGACUAUUAACAGAGGAACUUAAGGCACUGAAGCAUAACAUUGUUACAGAUAUGGUUUGGAUUCGUAUCCCUGCUCAAAUCUCAUGUACAAUUGGAGAAGAGGCCUGGUGGGAGGUGAUGGGAUCAUGGGGGCAGAUUUCCCCCUUGCUGUUCUCGUGAUAGUGAGUUUUCACGAGAUCUGAUCCUUUAAAGGUGUGUGGCACUUCUCCCUUCUCUUUCUCUUCCUCCUGCUCCACCAUGGCAAGACAUGCUUGCUUCCCCUUUGCCUUCCACCAUGAUUGUAAGUUUCCUGAGGCCUCCCAGCCACGCUUCCUGUUCAGCCUGC